CCUACGGGAGGCAGCAGUGGGGAAUAUUGCACAAUGGGGGAAAGCCUGAUCCAGCCAUGCCGCGUGUGUGAAGAAGGCCUUCGGGUUGUAAAGCACUUUCAGUUGGGAGGAAGGGUUUCUCGUUAAUAGCGGGUGAUAAUGACGGUACCGGCAGAAUAAGCACCGGCUAACUCCGUGCCAGCAGCCGCGGUAAU
rnacentral:rRNA from 1 species